AGAUGACGGGAGGACGAACACGUCUACAUUCGUGCUGUUAAUGCCAGAUUCGGAAUGGGUACGGACCUGUACGGCCAGCCGGACGAAAUCUAAUCGACUUUCAGCGGCUACCUAAUCAAGGCCAUCGCCACCGAAACACCUGUCGGCGGCAAAUAAAUCACGCCGGUAGCAAUCAUAUCUAGCUGAUUAUUGUAGACUGGAUACAACAAAGCUUGACAUCGUGUACAGUUGUUGUAUUGACUUGAGGGACGAAAUAAAUUUAGUACGCCAGUACUUAAGAAAACUGAUUUAGUUUUGUUUUGCCUCGUUUAUAUUGCUCUAGAUUUUGGUGGCUACGCAAUUAUAAACGUCGGAUGUUGUGUAUUUCGAAGUGAGCGCAUUACAAUAACGGAUGAUUAGCCUGCAUAUGGCUACAAUAUAGUUGAGCAUAGGUUUGUAAGAUAAGAAAAUUACAUUGACAGUGCAUAACGUCAUAGUUGAUACCGCUUAAAGGACAUGCCGUUUUUAGAUUGCCAGAAAUUCACGCAUGUUUAAAGUACGGCAUCGUCCACGAUCUCUCAAGUAGCCAGCUUUCCUCUCAUCCUAACGGAGCCACUUGUGAAGCAACGGGAACCAGACAAUAAGCGGAAGCGUUUGUACUCAAUAGCUGUAAAAUAGCGGAACCAUCUAUGUCAGGUGAUGGUUAAAUGUCUCCAGAUUCCCCACUUCACACCCGUGUUUAGUAUCCAUGGCGACCAUUACAGCUCCUCCGUGCCCGUGGUCGCAAUUUUCCCCAAGUGUCUUAACAAUUCGAACGGCAUCAAGAUUGCCAUUCAACACUGUGAGAACUGAGAGAAUGGAUAACACAAUAACGGACUCCACGACCUACUACACUAUUCAAUAAACUAAAGAACAUUUCGUAUGUGCAAUUAAAUUUUGUGUGUGACAUUUG